rnacentral:rRNA from 1 species
GACGAACGCUGGCGGCGUGCCUAAUACAUGCAAGUCGAGCGAGCGGAACUAACAGAUUUACUUCGGUAAUUACGGUAGGAAAGCGAGCUGCGGAUGGGUGAGUAACACGUUUGGAACCUGCCCCAUAGUCUGGGAUACCACUUGGAAACAGGUGCUAAUACCGGAUAAGAAAGCAGAUCGCAUGAUCAGCUUUUGAAAGGCGGCGUAAGCUGUCGCUAUUGGAUGGCCCCGCGGUGCAUUAGCUAGUUGGUAAGGUAAAGGCUUACCAAGGCGAUGAUGCAUAGCCGAGUUGAGAGAAUGAUCGGCCACAUUGGGACUGAGACACGGCCCAAACUCCUACGGGAGGCAGCAGUAGGGAAUCUUCCACAAUGGACGCAAGUCUGAUGGAGCAACGCCGCGUGAGUGAAGAAGGUUUUCGGAUCGUAAAGCUCUGUUGUUGGUGAAGAAGGACAGAGGUAGUAACUGGCCUUUAUUUGACGGUAAUCAAACAGAAAGUCACGGCUAACUACGUG